rnacentral:rRNA from 1 species
AAAAGGCGGCUGCUAUACAUGCAAGUCGAGCGGACCUUUUAAAGCUUGCUUUUGAAAGGUCAGCGGCGGACGGGUGAGUAACACGUGGGCAACCUGCCUGUAAGACUGGGAUAACUUCGGGAAACCGGAGCUAAUACCGGAUAAUAUAAGGAACCUCCUGGUUCUUUAUUGAAAGAUGGUUUCGGCUAUCACUUACAGAUGGGCCCGCGGCGCAUUAGCUAGUUGGUGAGGUAACGGCUCACCAAGGCGACGAUGCGUAGCCGACCUGAGAGGGUGAUCGGCCACACUGGGACUGAGACACGGCCCAGACUCCUACGGGAGGCAGCAGUAGGGAAUCUUCCACAAUGGACGAAAGUCUGAUGGAGCAACGCCGCGUGAGCGAUGAAAGGCCUUCGGGUCGUAAAGCUCUGUUGUUAGGGAAGAACAAGUGCGAGAGUAACUGCUCGCACCUUGACGGUACCUAACCCAGAAAGCCACGGGCUAACUACGUGGCCGAGGCAGGCCGGCGGUAAUACGUAGUGGCAAGCGUUGUCCGGAAUUAUUGGGGCGUAAAGCGCCGCCGCAGGUGGUCGUUAAGUCCUGAUGUGAAAGCCCCACGGCUCAUCGUGCAGGUCAUUUGCAACUGGGGGGACUUGAGUGGCAAAAAAAGAAGUGGAACUUCUGGUGUACGGUGAAUGGCUGAAGAAUUGGGAGGAACCCAGUGGCAGGCGACUUUUCGUAUCGUACCUGAACACUUGAGGGCUCGAAUCAGUGGGGAACAAACGGAUU